GCGGGAAAGAAUGGGAUUGAAGUGUUGACCAGUGGACCUAGGCCCAUUUGUCAAGCCUGUUAUUUGGUUUCUUUACACUUCUCAGAGGCAAUUGCUGUGGGAGGCGUGGUGUAACUGCUGGAAGGAAGACACUCAAUUCUUCUGAGCACCGAAGGCCACACGGAGUCCUGGAUUUUGUGUGGCCUGGCAUCCACGGUGCACCACGUGCUGGCGGGUGACUCAGGACGGGGCAGUUAUCAUGGGACACCUGCCAUAUGCUGGCAAUGAACAUGGUCAGUUCUUCUGAGCCACAAAGGCCCCCGAAGUCCUGGAGUUGGUGUGGCUUAGCAUCCACGGUGCGCCCCCUGCUGGUGGAUGGCUCAGGACGGGGCAGUUGCCAUGGGAGGCCCGCUGCCUGCUGGAAGGAAGAUGGUCAAUUCUUUUGAGCCACAAAGGUCCUGGAGUCAGUGUGGCCUGCUUCCUGGGUGCACCUUGUGCUGGUGGAUUGCUCAGGACGGGACAGUUGCUGUGGGACAGUUGCCGUGGGAGGUCC
ensembl:lncRNA